rnacentral:lncRNA from 1 species
CGAUAAUAUUUGAACGAAAUCUGCUUCAUAGAUGCCAAAUCUCUCAAAAUACGAAGAGAUAUUAUGAACGGUGCUUCCUAAAUACUCUUAAAAAACUCAGAAAACAAUUAUUAUCUUAUCUGUAGUCUUUGCAGAUCCGAUGGUUUCAGAUGGCAGUAGUAAGUGUACCUUGUAGACGUGUGAAUGUGGACGCGGGUUCCCAGCGGGGUGUCCUGGCGUCACGACGUGGCGUCGCGGUGUUUGUUGGGGGUGGGCGCCCCCCGUGGAGGUUGUGGCGUGUCGCCGAUUGCAUUUUCGAUUGUGAGUGCCCACAGGGCUGUGGCGUGGCGAAUGGAGUUGCGUUGUGGCAUUUCGGUGAUGGUUGAACCUAUUUGGGC